AUUGAACGCUGGCGGCAGGCCUAACACAUGCAAGUCGAACGGUAACAGGAAGCAGCUUGCUGCUUCGCUGACGAGUGGCGGACGGGUGAGUAAUGUCUGGGAAGCUGCCUGAUGGAGGGGGAUAACUACUGGAAACGGUAGUUAAUACCGCAUAAUGUCGCAAGACCAAAGAGGGGGACCUUCGGGCCUCUUGCUAUCGGAUGUGCCCAGAUGGGAUUAGCUUGUUGGUCGGGUUACGGCUAACCAAGGCGACGCUCCCUAGCUGGUCUGAGAGGAUGACCGGCCACACUGGAACUGAGACACGGUCCAGACUCCUACGGGAGGCAGCAGUGGAGAAUAUUGCACAAUGGGCGCAAGCCUGAUGCAGCCAUGCCGCGUGUAUGAAGAAGGCCUUCGGGUUGUAAAGUACUUUCGGCGGGGGGGAAGGGAGUAAAGUUAAUACCUUUGCUCAUUGACGUUACCCGCAGAAGAAGCACCGGCUAACUCCGUG
rnacentral:rRNA from 1 species